rnacentral:rRNA from 1 species
AUGGAGUACACACGCCAGGAGACCAUGGCGUGGCAUCAGAGGCUUUAUGAACACCAAGUGCAGAGGGAUAGCCAGAUGCAGCAGGCUUUUCAGGAUAUGGCGGCCGGUAGGUGUCCUCAGUUCCCUCCAGCACAAUGCCCUCCAGCACAACCAGUGCUGAUGAGCUUUGAGGAGUUUGUGGCACAAAAUGCUGGCCCCUCGCCGGGAACAGGUGGAUCUACCGUUGGCGGUGGUCUUCGCAGCACUCCGGAGACACGGAGCCCGACCACUCUGAUCCACGGAGGAGGAGGCGGAGGUGGAGGCGGAGGCGGUCUUGGCGGUAGCGCUGCCGCUAGUAGUGACGACCUGGGCUUUGGCCGUCUUGGCGGUGACGACCUCCGCGGUGCUCGAUGA